UUGUUUUUGACAGCUGCCCCAAACUCCACCGUCCCUACUCAAGCGGCGGAAGACAGCCGCUUCUGACUCAAGGGGCGGGGCACGAGAGGAAAAGUAUUCGGGACAAGAACCAACUUCUUUCAGAAUGCGCGGCUGCCAUUGACACGCGGGCGCGGCGCGGCGCACCCUUCUCCCGGGACUCUUCCUCUAGCGACAGAGAGAGGCACACACAGUUCCAUUUGUUGUGUUAUCUUCUGAAGCUGCCUCAAGGCCAAGCAAAGAAAUAAAUAGCUUCCUUAUAAAGUUACUGUUCACGGCCAGCAAACCUUUCCAAAGGCAAAAAACUCAAAUGGCAGAAUUUUGGACAGAUGAAUAAACCAGAAAAGUGUAUCA
rnacentral:lncRNA from 1 species